CUUUGCAUUUUGAAAAUGCUGUCUUUAAAACAGAAAAUUUUGAAAAUGCUUGCUCCUCAGAGUACAUGUGUGCUCUACAGCUUGACACUUCUUUGCCCUUUCUGCACUUUUUGAUAUAGAUAUUCACAAAAUGUAAAAUAGCUGACAUUAUCACUAAUAUAAAUAUAAAUCAACACUUUAUAAUAUGAAAAGGCAGAUAUGUUUCUGGCCUUGGGUCUUAUUUUCCCAACCAGAAUCCUUCACACCAGGGUCUCGGAACAACUGCGGGACAAGCUCAUGCUGUACACACUCUCUCUGCACUCCUGAGGUCAGUCUCUACACUCCUUUUGAUGCUUCCUGUGAUGUUGGUACUUUCAAUAGCACUUGCAUUACCUAUGACACUGACAGGAGGCCUGAUCUAUAUCUGGCUUCUCUGUUCAUAAGCAGGUAAGAAAUUAGAUGAGGGAAAAUCUUGGGACAUAAUAACCUGUAAACCAAAGCAAGAGAUUUUCAGAGUCAGAUGCUAAUGAGUUCUGUUCUCUAUGCUGUCCCAUUAAAAUAGAUUCCUUAGCCUAUUUUUCCCUUGUGAACCAAGUUUUCAGAAAUAAACAGCUGGGACCCAAGGCAUCUGCAUAGCAGGACAAAGCUUUUAUCUCUCUCAUAGGAAGGACCUUCCAGACUUUGCCAGCACGGCAAGCUCUCUAGACUAGAGGAACACCUUUUCUUAAUCAUUUACUCACAGAAGUAUCACUUUGAUAUUUUAUGUUUACUUUUUUAUCAAAGACCCCUCAAAAUUACACUUACAUUUUUAGAUCUGGAAAAAGAAUGUUGAAGUGAUUGCUAUUUUAUGUUAGGGUACCAACGUCAUACUGCAGUUGGCAAAGAUAAAAAUUAGAAACAGUCUCUAGAACCCCACAUUCUGGCCAGUGUGGGCCAACAGCAUUAGCUUAUGCCCCUCCAGGUCUGUACCUUCAGUGAAAACCAAAUACCAGAACUAGGAAUUGGUCUCCUAGGAGCCUCUGAAAGGCAAAAUCUGUACUUUUCAGGGACCUCCUGACUUGGGCCAUUCACAUCCAAACUGGGACAUAUGCAACAUUGCUUCAGAGGUGAAGGCAAACCUCACCAAUGCAUCCAGGAGUCGACCUCUAAAUCUGAGAGAGGAAAUGGAUCAGAAAUCACUAGCACGUGCCACAACUAGAAGGACCCACAACUAAAAUAUACAACUAUGUACUGGGGGGAUUUGGGGAUAAAAAAGAAAAAAAAGAAAAAGAAAUCACUAGCAUAUAAAGAGAUUAGAUUCUCGUUGGUAGAGACUCUUACAAUUGCUGUAGUGCCAUCUUCAAACCAGAAUGAAGCCAAAAGUGAGAUUAUAUCCAGGGUUAGGAUUCUCCAUGUAUACCUCAGAGGGAAUCUUGAGCCCAAAUAACAAGUGAGCAUGGAUUGGUCUCAGUGUAAGUUGCUUUGGGCCAAUAGAAUAUAUCCUACCAUUAUCGAGCUAACUACAUGCAUUUGAAAACUUUAAGUUGAACCACACUAUAAGGAAAAUAAGACUGUAUCUAUAAACUACCUACUUGAAAAAUAGUCAUUUUACCUGCUCUAAAUUUACCUUUUUACUAGAAUACCAGUGAUUACUAAUGCACUAGAUACGAUGAGCUACUCUAUGUUAAAUCUACCCACAACUUACUUUCCCUGGAAUACUUUUAUUUUCUAGAAUACUGGUUUUAUAACUAGGUCUGUGACCUGCUGAAAGUCCUGUUGCUUCCUGAAGUAGAAGAGAAUGAAGAAAAGCGACAGCUGUGAGAACAGAACUGCUGCAGAUACACACGUUCUUUCAUAAGGUAAUUUUUUAAGAAUCGAAGUACAAAUGGAGGAAACAAAUUGAUGGAAUGCUGACAAUAGGACUGAAUUAGAAAGAAAUCAUGGCUAUUUGGGGACAACAUAGAAGAAAACGUGUAAUAGAAGAUUCUGAGAAAACUAUCAAUGUGAUGUAUUUCGAGUCCUUAGGACUUUUAAAGUUCAAUCCUUGAAGAGAGGUUUUACAGAUUGCAAUGUCAUCUUCUACUGAAGUCUUGCUAAUUUAUGAAGAUAAAUAGAAUUGUUUAACCACCCUGAGUGUAUUUGGAAGCUGGAUAGAGGUGAGAAUCUGGACUCUGACAUUCAGCAUAAGGAUGUUUUCUCUGACGCAAAUGCUGAAGAGAAGUAAAAAAUGAACAAGAAACAAGAAUGUGAUGUGUACAGCAAGAUAAAUGUUCCAUCACCAAUUUUACAAAGUAGAUGGCUUAAAGAUAAGUAAGUCCAAAAAGUGCAUUCUGUUUCUUCAAUUUUAGCAAGGAAAUCAAACAGAAAUUCACUUAAGCAAAUAUAAGAGAGUACAUUAUGUGAUUUGGGGUUCGCAUAGAUAACAGGCCAGGGGGUUGGGUUUGCUUGCUGUAGGGUUGCAAAUUAUUUACAGAUCAAAAUAAGGAGAGAAUGUGAUGGUGGAUUAAAAUCUUACUGUAAAUAUGUUUAGGGCUAAAUCAUAGAAAAAACAGAGUGAUGUUAAGGAUUAUGAAUUUUUUUCUUAUAAGCAAUUGAAAACACUAAACUUUUUAAAAUAGAUAAAGCUUAACUUCUGCUAUACAGAUAAUUUUGGAAACAGCGUGAAUGAUGGAUUGGAAACAUAUUGGAAGCAGACAGUUUAGGAGAAGAUGAUGUACAUAUGCUCAGGAUAGUGUUUCAAUGGCCUGACAGUCUCCUCUACUCUAAAUUUGGGAGCUGGCAAAGAUCAGAAAUAAAACACCCCAGAAUCAUGGCUGGGGGAUGGGCCCUUCUUUUUGCCAAGGGGCUUACUUACCCAUCUAGUUAAGGAACAGUGACAAGAUCAAAGCAAACUAGUUCUCAUAUUUCAGAUAAGUAUUAGUUGAGAUUCUCUAGUAAACUGCAAAUCCAUCUCUCACCCUCACACCAUACUGAGUUAUAGAGGAGCUCUUCAGAAAACGUCAAGGAAUCAGGUGUCAUUUUGUGUGUGUGUGUGAAAUUCUUUGCCACAUACCCAAUUGUAAAGCUGAAAAAAUAUCCCCAUUCCCAUCACUUCUGUUACUUCUUCACCCAUCCACCAUGUUUAGUUAGCCUCUUUAGAGGAAGCAGGACCUUCCACUCAUUUGUUUCAUUUAUUCAAAGUUAAAGUCCUCAGGAAAUAGCUAUUUACCCAGUCUGUUGCUUAGAGCCGUUCCAUCUCCUCCCUGCUUCUCCUCAAAACAGACCCUACUUGCUAUCUUAUUUCCUCGGUAUCAUAUAUGAUUUAAUCAUAUAUAAUAGUAAUAGUUUAUCUGGAAAAAUAACCUGGUUUACUUGUUAAAGUACUAGCUUUUAGGAAACUCUUGGGCCUUAAAUUGAAGCACUACCUCUUAAGCAUUUAUGAGUUACACAACAAUCAGCCUGAGAUUUUAUUCUAGGAUUGUAUUUACUGGCUUUGAGAUCA